rnacentral:rRNA from 1 species
GACGAACGCUGGCGGCGUGCCUAAUACAUGCAAGUCGAGCGGACCGGAUUGGGGCUUGCCUUGAUUCGGUCAGCGGCGGACGGGUGAGUAACACGUGGGCAACCUGCCCGCAAGACCGGGAUAACUCCGGGAAACCGGAGCUAAUACCGGAUAACACCGAAGACCGCAUGGUCUUCGGUUGAAAGGCGGCCUUUGGGCUGUCACUUGCGGAUGGGCCCGCGGCGCAUUAGCUAGUUGGUGAGGUAACGGCUCACCAAGGCGACGAUGCGUAGCCGGCCUGAGAGGGUGAUCGGCCACACUGGAACUGAGACACGGUCCAGACUCCUACGGGAGGCAGCAGUAGGGAAUCUUCCGCAAUGGGCGAAAGCCUGACGGAGCAACGCCGCGUGAGUGAUGAAGGUCUUCGGAUCGUAAAACUCUGUUAUUAGGGAAGAACAUAUGUGUAAGUAACUGUGCACAUCUUGACGGUACCUAAUCAGAAAGCCACGGCUAACUACGUG